AACAUCUGAAUUCUCAGUGAUCUUGCCUUUCUUAGGAUUGUUGUGGUUUUUCAUGAACUUGUACUGUUGGGCGUAGAAAUACUAAGAGAUGCCUUGGAGUUCCUGUCAUGGUGCAGUGGUUAACAAACCUGACUAGGAACCAUGAGGUUGCGGGUUUGAUCCCUGGCCUUCCUCAGUGGGUCAAGGAUCCGGCAUUGCCGUGAGCUGUGGUGUGGGUUCCAGACGUGGCUCGGAUCUGGCGUUGCUGUGGCUCUGGUGUAGGCUGGCAGCAACAGCUCCGAUUGGACCUGUAGCCUGGGAACCUCUAUGUGCCGCGGAAAGCAGCCCUAGAAAAGCCAAAAAAAAAAAGAAAAGAAAAGAAAUGCUAAGAGAUGCCUUGAAGAAUCCACCGUGGGUUCCAGCCUUAGGUCUUCACGACCCUGUGGCAGGAAGGAACCCAGUUUCCUCUUCCUCUAGCUGGUAGCAUAUCCUCCUCGUUUGCCUUCUGGUUCAGCAGCUUGAGGAGUCCCCAGAUGUCCAGGUGGCAGUCUCACCUUUCAUUUCAUUGUGCAUUGUCAUCUCCCUUUAAUGGAAGCAUUCUUCCCUUUAUAUCCAGGCCCUCUGUACCAGCAGGGAUGGAGGGUGUUAUUAGGGCAAUAGCGUGUCCACUCCUGCCUCUGCCCCUUGACUCCAGAACCAGUGUCUUCUGACUUGGGGAGAGACAGCUGCUUCAAAGCGUAUGUAGUACAUCGUGUGAGAUGGAAAGGCAUCCUUUCGGAAUGUCCUUACAACUCCUGUCUUCAGUUGGCCCUUCUGUUUUGUUCUUGGGGCAGUUGCUUGUAGGGAGUGGGAAGCGUGGGAAGACUGGUGAAUUCCAAGUGCUGACAGACGCUGCUUCGUAAGUGGUACAUGUGACGUUUUCAAAUGGCAGGUCAUGAGCAUGGCGGUCCUGUGCUUACUGGGCUGUGGCCAGUCACCUCCCUUCUUUCCGUCCCUUCUUCUCUUCCUUCCAGGGAGCUCCAUAGACUGGAGAGGCUGGGGUAGAAAAUAAUACAGUGUAACAUGUUCAAGGACACGUAUUUGGGGGGGAAAUACUCAUAUGUAUACUUAUUGGAUCAUGAUUUAAAAUUCAUUUCUUAAUAUAAUUCAUGGUGACGAUACUUUGAAAACUACUGGUCCAAGGAGACAUUGGGACUUGCGGGUUUCUUCCCUCUAGUUUCCUGUGAUGUGUUAGCUCCAGGCCACAUGAAGUCAGUGUCGGCUGCAGUCCUGCAGUGGUCCUACCCACCAGGGUGGAUUUCUCUGGAAAUCUUGUUUACUUCUAACAAGUCAAAGGAUGGCAAUCAUGAGUGAGAUCACCUAUAAAAUGUAACUUUCAGAGUUGUUUAGAAGUUUAAGUGAGACCACGUGACUGAGUUCUGCCCUCAGCAUCUGGCAGGUAGUGGGAAAUAGGUCCAGGCAAUGAACUCUGUUAAAGAUGCACCCAGCACUGUUUACGUGGUGUUUUUCUGUAAAUUUCACCGUAAGAUUUAUAUUUACUAUGUAAAUCGCCUCCAUUGUUUAGGUGACUAAGGUGACCUAAAUCGAGUCAGUUAUGUGAUUUGAAUAAAAUUUCAGAACCCCUGUUUAUAAUCUAUUUCUUUCCACCCCUUCUCCGACUUUCUUUCCAAAUGAUAUUUUUACUUGGAUCUUGAGAGCCUUGUGGUUAAAGCAGAGAUGAAAAUUUUGUGGGACUGGAUCUGCAAAAUAAACUUCUUAGAGUGAAUUGGGAUAGAUGUCUCCACCCUCAGGCCCAGCCCUUGCCUAACAGAAUGAAUGAGCCAAAGUUAUUGACUCAAAAGGUUUCCCUGAAGUGCUCUACAAAUUAAAGCAGAAUAGCUUUAACUGGCCAUUGUUGACGAAGUCAUCUCAGUGUUCUCUUCUGUCUGUCCCUCCCAUAUACAGUGCCAGGAAAACACUCUUGGGAGUUGGCCGUGUUGGAGGCAGUGUACAAUGUAGCGAUUCACAAUUUUCAAAUGUUAUACUCCAUUUAGACUUAUUAUAGAAUAUUUGCUAUAGUCCCCUUGAACAGUAAUACAUCCUUGGAGCUUAUUUUAUGCCUAAUGUUUGUACCUCUUAAUCCCCUACCGAUACCUUGCCCCUCCCCCUCCCCUCUCCCCACUGGUAACCACCAGUUGAUUCUCUGUAUCUGUGAGUCCGCUUCUUUUUUCUUUCUUUCUUUUUUUUAAACUACAUUCACUAGUUUGUUGUACUUUUUGGAUUCCACAUAUAAGUAAUAUAGCAUAGUGUAUUUGUCCUCUGUCUGGCUUAUUCCAUUUAGGAUAAUACCCUGCAAGUUCAUCCAUGUUCCUGCAAAUGGCAAAAUUUCAUUCUUUUUUCCGACUGAGCCGUAUUCCAUUGCAUGUAUGUACUGCAUCUUCUUUAUCUGUUCAUCUGUUGAUGGACAGUUAGGUUGCCUCCAUAUCUUGGUGAUUGUACAUAGUGUUGCUAUGAACAUUCAGGUACAUCUAUCUUUCUGAGUUAGUAUUUUUUUUUUUUUUUAAUAUAUACCCAGGAGUGGAAUUGUUGGCUUACAUGGCAGUUCUAUUUUUCAUUUUUUUGAGAAACCUCCAUACUGUUUUCCACAGUGGCUGUAUGAAUUUACAUUCCCGCCAGCAACGUUUGAGGGCUCCCUUAUCUCCACGUCUUUGUCAGAAUUCGUUAUUUAUGUAUUUAUUUUUAUGUUAGCCAUUCUGACAGGUGUGAGGUGAUAUCUUGUUGUAGUUUUGAUUUGCAUUUCCCUAAUGAUUGGUGAUGUUGAGCAUCUUUUUGUGUGCCUCUUGCGUGUCCUUUUGGGAGAAAUAUUUAUUCAGGUCUUCUGCCCAUUUUUUAUUUUAUUUUUUAUUUUUAAUUGUGCCUGUGGCAUUUGGAAGUUCCCUGGCUAGGGAUCAGACUUGCUCCACAGCAGUGACAGCGCAGGGAAUCCACCAAGCCACCAGGGAACUCCAGUUUGUUUGUUUUUUUGGUGUUGAGAUGUAUAAGGUAUUUAUAUAUUUUACAUAUUAACCCCUUAUCGGUUAUAUCCUGUGCAAAUACUUCCUCACAUUCGGUAGGUUGUCUUUUUGUUUUUUGGUGGUUUCCUUUGCUUUGGUUUUAUUUCCUUUGUUUUAGGAGACAGAUCAAAAAGAUGAUUUAUCUCAAAGAAUGUUCUGCCUGUGUUGUCCCUCAUAUGGUCUUAAAUUUUUUAACAACGGAAGACAUUAUGUAUUAUACAAUUUACCCUUUAAAGUGUACCCUUCAGUGGUUUCCAGUAUAUUCACAAAGUUAUGUAUCCAUCCUUAUAAUCAAUUUGAGGACAUUUUUAUUACUUUCGAAAGAAACUCUGUACCCCUAAGCUGUUGCCCCCUAAUCCUGCCCUACCUAGCUGCCUAGCCCCAGACAGUCACUCAUCUAUUGUCUCUAUAGAUUUGCUUAUUCUGGACAUUUUAUACUAACAAAAGUAUACAAUAUGUUGUCCUUUGUGACUGGCUUCUUUCACUUGGCAUAGUGUUUUCAAGGUUCAUCUGUUGUAGUAUGGAUCAGAAGUUCAUUUCUUUUUAUUGCUGAAUAAUAUUUCAUUGUAUGGGUACAUAGCAUUUUGUUCAUCCAUUCAUCAGUUGGUGGGCAUUUGAGUUGUUUCCAGUUUUUGGCUAUUGUGAGUAAUACUGCUAGGAACAGUCAUACACAGAUUUUUGUGUGAACAUGUUUUCAACCUUCUUGGGUAUAUAGCUAGGAAUGGAAUUGCUGGGUCUUAUGGUAACUCUGUGCUUAAGGAGGAACUGCCUGUUUUCCAAAGUAGCUGCCCUAUUUUACGUUUCUACCAAAAGCGUGUGAGUGAUCCGGUCUCUCCACAUCCUCCCCAACACUUGUUACUGACGUGUCUUUUUAAUGUUAGCCGUCCUCGUAGGUAUGAAGUGCCGUCACAUGGUUUUGAUUUGCAUUUCUCCAGUGACUUUUCAUUUGGGUUUUGGCCAUUUGUAUGUUGUCUUUGGGUUCUGUCUGGUUUUAGUUGGCAUCGAGGGAUGGCAGUAUCUGUAAUCUGUGCAACUGGUAUGUGGAAACUGGUUUCCCAGAAAAGUUUUCACUUCCUUGACAUAGUGAAAUUCACUUACACAUCAGAGAAUGUUUGGUCAAAGUAACAUUCUUUUGUUUUAAUUUUUAUUUAUUCUUUUCUUUUUUUGCCUUUUAGGGCUGCACCUGCAGCAUAUGGAAGUUGCCUGGCUAGGGGUCGAGUUGGAGCUACAGCUGCCUGCCUACACCACAGCCACAGCAGCAUGGGAUCCAAGCCAUGUCUGUGACCUCCACCACAGCUCACAGCAGCACCGGAUCCUUAACCCACUGAUCAAGGCCAGGGAUCAAGUCCACAUCCUAAUGGAUGCUAGUUGGGUUUAUAACCCGCUGAGCCACAGUGGGAACUCCACAUUCUUUUAAAACGCAAUUAUAGUUAAGCCACAUUCCACCCAUAGGGUGAAUAUAGAAGACCACAGUGAACACAGCCCGCGCCAACAUCCAACUGUAAAUGGGAUACUAAGUGAAACACGAGGAAGCAGAGCAAACUCGUGAGGACAAAUGGCUAGAACUCACAGGGACAUCCUCUUGGCCUCUGCUAGCCUCUUCCAAGGAAAUUCUGUUUGGGCAGACAGCUGAAGAGACCACGUAGUGGCAAGAUACUGAGUUAAACCACAGAAAAGGUACACAGCAUGAUUCGUGUACAAAUGCACUCAUGAAGCACUUCAUGUGCUUCAAAUACGGAGUUACGGCCACGGGAACGUUGUCAUUACAUGUGAAGAGAGGAAAAAAUUCAGAUCCCACAUACCUCAAGUACUUGUAUCUUACAUUGUAGCAGCAGAAUAUCUGAAAUUUUUACACUCACUGCACCAGUUCAGAAAUAGUGUCUCAACAUGAAU
rnacentral:lncRNA from 1 species